rnacentral:rRNA from 1 species
UGGGGGAUAUUGCACAAUGGGCGAAAGCCUGAUGCAGCGACGCCGCGUGGGGGAUGAAGGCCUUCGGGUUGUAAACUUCUUUUGCUCUGAACAAGGCAUGCCUUUGGGGUGUGUUGAGUGUAGGGGUUGAUUAGCGCCGGCUAACUACGUGCCAGCAGCCGCGGUAAUACGUAGGGCGCGAGCGUUGUCCGGAAUUAUUGGGCGUAAAGGGCUUGUAGGUGGCUGGUUGCGUCUGUCGUGAAAGCUCAUGGCUUAACUGUGGGUUUGCGGUGGGUACGGGCUGGCUUGAGUGCAGUAGGGGGGGGUGGAAUUCCUGGUGUGGCGGUGGAAUGCGCAGAUAUCAGGAGGAAUACCGGUGGCGAAGGCGGGUCUCUGGGCUGUUACUGACGCUGAGGAGCGAAAGCGUGGGGAGCGAACAGG